rnacentral:rRNA from 1 species
UGGGGAAUCUUGCGCAAUGGGCGAAAGCCUGACGCAGCGACGCCGCGUGAGGGAAGAAGGCCUUCGGGUUGUAAACCUCUUUCAGGAGGGACGAAGCUACUCGGGUGAAUAGCCCAGAGGGUGACGGUACCUCCAGAAGAAGCCCCGGCUAACUACGUGCCAGCAGCCGCGGUAAUACGUAGGGGGCAAGCGUUGUCCGGAUUUACUGGGCGUAAAGAGCGUGUAGGCGGCCAAACAGGUCCGUUGUGAAAACUGGAGGCUCAACCUACAGACGUCGAAGGAAACCGUGUGGCUAGAGUCCGGAAGAGGAGAGUGGAAUUCCUGGUGUAGCGGUGAAAUGCGCAGAUAUCAGGAAGAACACCUAUGGCGAAGGCAGCUAUCUGGGACGGUAAUGACGCUGAGACGCGAAAGCGUGGGGAGCGAACAGG